rnacentral:tRNA from 1 species
GCCGACGUAGCUCAACGGAAGAGCAGCUGAUUUGUAAUCAGCAGGUUGCGGGUUCGAGUCCCACCGUCGGCUCCA